AUUGAACGCUGGCGGCAGGCCUAACACAUGCAAGUCGAGCGGAUGAAGGGAGCUUGCUCCUGGAUUCAGCGGCGGACGGGUGAGUAAUGCCUAGGAAUCUGCCUGGUAGUGGGGGAUAACGUCCGGAAACGGGCGCUAAUACCGCAUACGUCCUGAGGGAGAAAGUGGGGGAGCUUCGGACCUCACGCUAUCAGAUGAGCCUAGGUCGGAUUAGCUAGUUGGUGGGGUAAAGGCCUACCAAGGAGACGAUCCGUAACUGGGCUGAGGGGAUGAUGAGUCACACUGGAACUGAGACGCGGUACAGACUCCUACGGGAGGCAGCAGUGGGGAAUAUUGGACGAUGGGCGAAAGCCUGAUCCAGCCAUGCGCGUGUGUGAAGAAGGUCUUCGGAUUGUAAAGCACUUUAAGUUGGGAGGAAGGGCAGUAAGUUAAUACCUUGCUGUUUUGACGGUACCAACAGAAUAAGCACCGGCUAACUUCGUG
rnacentral:rRNA from 1 species